rnacentral:rRNA from 1 species
GACGAACGCUGGCGGCGUGCUUAACACAUGCAAGUCGAACGGAAAGGCCCCUUUUGGGGUACUCGAGUGGCUAACGGGUGAGUAACACGUGAGUAACCUGCCCUUCACUUCGGGAUAACUUCAGGAAACUGGGGCUAAUACCGGAUAGGAAUCCUUGCUGCAUGGUGGGGGUUGGUAAGCUUCGGGGGUUUGGUAUGGACUCGCGGCCUAUCAGCCUGUUUGUGGGGUAGUGGCUUACCAACGCUUUGUCGGGUAGGUGGCCUGAGAGGGAGAGCGGCCACAUUGGGAAUGAGAUACGGCCCAGACUCCUACGGGAGGCAGCAGUGGGGAAUAUUGCACAAUGGGCGGAAGCCUGAUGCAGCAACGCCGCGUGCGGGAUGACGGCCUUCGGGUUGUAAACCGCUUUCAGCAGGGGCGAAGCUUGUGGUGACGGUACCUGCAGAAGAAGCACCGGCUAACUACGUG